rnacentral:rRNA from 1 species
UUUGGUUUAGUUUAGUGGCGGACGGGUGAGUAACGCGUGGGUAACCUGCCCUAUACAGGGGGAUAACAGUUGGAAACGACUGUUAAUACCGCAUAAGCGCACAGGAGCGCAUGCUCCGGUGUGAAAAACUCCGGUGGUAUAGGAUGGACCCGCGUCUGAUUAGCUGGUUGGCGGGGUAACGGCCCACCAAGGCGACGAUCAGUAGCCGGCCUGAGAGGGUGAACGGCCACAUUGGGACUGAGACACGGCCCAAACUCCUACGGGAGGCAGCAG